rnacentral:rRNA from 1 species
AUAAGUUUAAUCGUUUAUCGAGAAACCGCGAACGGCUCAUUACAAUGGCCAUUAUUUACUUGAUCUUGAUUGUCUAAAUGGAUAACUGUGGAAAAGCUAGAGCUAAUACAUGCACUAAAGCUUUGUCCUUACGGAAAAGCGCAUUUAUUAGAACAAAACCACGCGGCUUCGGCUGCUUCUUGUUGACUCAGAAUAACUUAGCUGACCGCAUGGCCUUGUGCCGGCGGCGUGUCUUUCAAGCGUCCACUUUAUCAACUUGACGGGAGCAUAAUCGACUCCCGUGGUGGUGACGGAUAACGGAGGAUCAGGGUUCGACUCCGGAGAAGGGGCCUGAGAAAUGGCCACUACGUCUAAGGAUGGCAGCAGGCGCGCAAAUUACCCACUCUCGGCUCGAGGAGGUAGUGACGAGAAAUAACGAGACUGUUCUCUUUGAGGCCGGUCAUCGGAAUGGGUACAAUUUAAACCCUUUAACGAGUAUCAAGCAGAGGGCAAGUCUGGUGCCAGCAGCCGCGGUAAUUCCAGCUCUGCAAAUACAUAGAAUUAUUGCUGCGGUUAGAAAGCUCAUAGUUGGAUUCGUAUCGAUACCUUGGAACCCUUCGGGUGUCUCUAGGUGUUAUCGAUUUAUCGUAAUGUUCGGUUUUGAGUCCUUAACAGGAUUCUUAACAGGCAUUGCAAGUUUACUUUGAACAAAUCAGAGUGCUUCAAACAGGCGUUUUCGCUUGAAUGAUCGUGCAUGGAAUAAUAGAAAAUGAUUUCGGUUCAGUUUUAUUGGUUUUACGGACUGAGAUAAUGGUUAACAGAGACAAACGGGGGCAUUUGUAUGGUCCCGUGAGAGGUGAAAUUCUUGGACCGUGGCCAGACAAACUACAGCGAAAGCAUUUGCCAAGAAUGUUUUUAUUAAUCAAGAACGAAAGUCAGAGGUUCGAAGGCGAUCAGAUACCGCCCUAGUUCUGACCGUAAACGAUGCCAACUAGCGAUCCGCCGAUGGAAAUUAUAUUGCCUUGGUGGGGAGCUUCCCGGAAACGAAAGUCUUCCGGUUCCGGGGGAAGUAUGGUUGCAAAGCUGAAACUUAAAGGAAUUGACGGAAGGGCACCACCAGGAGUGGAGCCUGCGGCUUAAUUUGACUCAACACGGGGAAACUCACCCGGCCCGGACACUGUGAGGAUUGACAGAUUGAUAGCUUUUUCAUGAUUCAGUGGAUGGUGGUGCAUGGCCGUUCUUAGUUCGUGGAGUGAUUUGUCUGGUUUAUUCCGAUAACGAGCGAGACUCUAACCUACUAAAUAGUUGGUACAUACUCUUAGUGUAUACAGCUUCUUAGAGGGAUUUGCGGCGUUCAGCCGAAAGAAAUUGAGCAAUAACAGGUCUGUGAUGCCCUUAGAUGUCCGGGGCUGCACGCGCGCUACACUGGCAAAAUCAACGUGCUUGUCCUACCCUGAAAGGGGCGGGUAAACCAUUGAAAAUUUGCCGUGAUUGGGAUCGGAAAUUGCAAUUAUUUUCCGUGAACGAGGAAUUCCAAGUAAGUGCGAGUCAUCAGCUCGCGUUGAUUACGUCCCUGCCCUUUGUACACACCGCCCGUCGCUGCCCGGGACUGAGCCAUUUCGAGAAAUUUGGGGACCGUUGAUUUAAUUUUUCUAAAUUACUUUGAUGGAAACCAA